AUCACCAUCACUUCCGCGCCCAAAGCUUUGGCUUCUUUCUCAGCAAAUAUUACCAGCUUCGACUUUUCUUCGUCUCAUGUACCCAUCUCAUCAAUAACAAUGCCUGCUUACAAACCUCACCACCACGUCUUCUUCCUCCUCCUCCUUUUUCCGAUCCUCGUCCUUGUCUCCACCGUCCAUUCCAGGCCCAUCUCCUCGGCUCAGCCCUCCGAUCUGAUUUCCGAUGGGGUCCACUACUCCCUCCGGAGCCCGCCUUACAUCCUCCUCGAUCCGUUCUCUUCUGAGGAAUCCUGUGAGCAGACCUAUGGCUUUAUGCC
rnacentral:misc_RNA from 1 species